rnacentral:tRNA from 1 species
GGAGAGGUGGCAGAGCGGUCGAAUGUACCUGACUCGAAAUCAGGCGAUGGGGUAACCCAUCCGGGGGUUCGAAUCCCCCCCUCUCCGCCA